UUGACCUCGGAUCAGGUAGGAAUACCCAGCUGAACUUAAGCAUAUCAAUAA
rnacentral:rRNA from 1 species